rnacentral:lncRNA from 1 species
UUCAAAGCGCGUUUCUCAUAGUUCAUGGCCAUGGGUUUUGGGCAUUGAAAAAUCAACUAAAGGGAGCUCAUUUCAUAACCUAGAUAGUUAACGUAAGGGGCACCGUAAAUACUCUUAAAAACAUAGUUUUGCACCUUUAAAUGACAAGGUUAUUUUAGGGAGAAAAUGAGGGUUAAGAAAGGAAAUUUUAAGAAAUUUUGAGUUUAUUGUUAGGAGAAUAUCUCGUGUAAGUUGGAGGAGCUUUCGGGGGAGUUGGGAGAGUGUGGUUACAGGAGGUUUCCAGGGUAUGUUUUAGGGUAAGUGUUGGAAGAAUGGAAGGGGGUUGGUGUGCGAAACAAGAAGCAAUUCCAGAACAACGCUAAGAACAAAAGCGCCUUUAAAGAAUUUAUUGGAAAACCCAGGUAAGGGGAGUUAACUCUUCUUAAUUAUAUUUGUGUGAAGCAUGAUAGUAAGAGCUUGGAAAUUUCGUUGAAUCAUAGAGGUGCUUGUAAUGCAGUCACGCAUGUCGCUUGGGUUUUGAUUUAACUAUGGGGAUUGGGUUUA